rnacentral:lncRNA from 1 species
CGGAGAUCUCAGGAGACAAGGGCAAAAAUCACCCGUCAUUUUCUACUGAAUGGGUGACUGGAGGACCAUUCAGGUUCCUAGGGACUGGGUCUUGGGGAAGGAUUAAUGUGAAGAGCCCUUGGAAAUCAGCAUUGCCCCUGCCUGCACGGCUAUUGUUCAGAGGAUCCAGGGCUCUCCCAAAGGAAGAAACAGGGAACAUUCAGACUCGGCAGCUGAUGGGACACCACGAGGCUCCUCCUCUGGCUCUUCCUGGUUCAGCUUCACCUCAGGAACAUUUCAGGAGGGCCAUCUCCCGCUGCGCUGCGCUUUUUGAAAAGCCCUUGUAAGAAGCAACAGUCCCACUGCCUACUCUUUUCUCCCUCCUUUCCCUGUUCCUCCAGGUAGGCGCACUAAGAACGAUUUCCUUUGUGGGAAAUGAAGCAGACCCCGGCCGCAGAGGAUCCGUUGUCAUUUCUGAGGUGCAUUUAACUUAAAUAGCCAGGAGAUCUGGAGCCCCCAAAACAGGUCCCUGCAGUGUGGGUGUUCAGACACACGUGUUCCCUUCCUGUGACUGAGGAAGAAGAUGGGUGGAGCAAUGCCCUCUGCUGGAGCGAUGCCUCAUACUGCGUGGACAGAUGUGUGUGGGUGACCUAGCUGCCUGCCUUUUGUUCUCCGGUCUCUCACCCUGUUAUUUCUUCAACUCCCAACCACCGCACAGUUUUUUGUACUCAUGCGGCAUUCUUAACCUCUGACUUGAGUUUUGAGUGGUGUGGAAAACAAAGGAAGAAGUGGGAGGUGGUGAUGGUCUGUGACAUCACGGCCUCAUUCUGAUCUCACAAUCUCAUAGUUACAGGACAUUUCCUCUACCCUCCCUGCCUGGUAUUUGAAAAACUGAAAUCACCUCUACUUAGUGGGUUGGAGAAUGAAAAUGAGAUGGAGUUGCUUUGUAAAGUGUCCGGCCUGUUCUGCGUGUGCCAGGAAAGCCAAUGAGGAAACAGAACAGAAUAUGGCUUGCUGGGCCAUCCAGCUCUUCACAGAUCAAUCCCAAUCCUACUACAAAUGGUGUCCUUACCAAAACCAGCCAGAAGAGCACAUGUGACCAGGAAGCCCCAGUGACUGGACAUGCUCAGGGUCCAGCUGCUAUGACAGUGAGAGCGUUCUGCUGAAGGCCCUGCUGGAGUUGACGUGAAACGAGCCGUGCAGCUUGUUGGAGCUCACACCAGAUUUCCUCCUUUCCCUGUCCUGUUGUGUGUACACCAUUAACCUGGGUGAGCUUAUUCCAGUCAGAGGACCUGGAACUGGAGAGGACGAGGAAGUAUUUUAUCACACCAUAUGGCUAUGCUGCUGAGACUUUGUUCUUAGGAGCCAAAGGAUACCCUGUCCUUACUUCCAACCAGGCAGGAAAGCCAUCCCUAGCCCUUCCAAGGGGUGAGAGCCCAGCAGAGCCUAGAGGAGGAGAGGGUAGGUCCUCUUCAGUGAAUGUUGCCAGUUAAUGUCGGUGCUCAAGAAUCUGGCCAAGUUCAAGUCCAGCAUGAGAGAGCCCCAGAGCAGCCAGGGGUCCUCGGGCAGACCCUCUAGAAAUUAAAGAACGCUCUGAACCUGUUCUUCAACAAGGUGGCCAAGCCCAGUCAGGAGCUUCAUGGUUUGAGGACGUUUAUCAUUUAUUAGUUUCAGGCAUAAGUAGUAGCUCACAGUGGUGUGAACUUGCCUAGUGCCAGCAGCACCCUGAGCCACACUGACCUCUUACGAGCCACAGGCCUUGGCCAAAUUGUAGUCAUCUCUGCUUUUCAUAGCCCUUGGAUGUAAAAUAAGAACACUGCCCAUUUACCCACAGGAGAUUAUAUACAUACAUAUAUAAUUUUAUUUUGUGUCUGUGGUGGUCAGCUAUAUAUGACAGGAAAGCUAUCUGUGGGAAUUUUGAAGGGAUUGCAAUGAAACAUGCACUUAUUGUUUUUUUUAAUGCCCUACAUCUUGUUAAUGCUUGGUAAAGAGUUCUCCCUCUCCCUCCCCCGUUUCUCCCCCUGUCGCUCCCCUCCCUCCUCCCUCUCCCUCCAAGCAGAAAGAAUAACAACUAACUGCUUGCCAGGCCUUGAGAACAUCAACAAGCAACAUACUUGAUUUGUUCUGUUUAGUGAGUCAGAAGACGGAUCAAAUGAGAGACCCCAACAUCUCCGGAGUAACCUGCUCUCAGGAGCUGACUCUUCUGCCGAGGUCAGAGAUGAUCAGACACAUCUGAAUUGCAAUUAGAGAUAAACAGAGCGCUGGGGCUUCUCAAGUCACCAGAGAAUAUGGCCGGGCGACUGGCAGCUACAAGGAUCCCAUUUAUGCGUUACGAUGCAGUUCUAUUCUUCAAUAGCUCACUCCAAACAAGGAAAUUAAAUUAAGCACUGUUUAAAAUGCCUCAGAUAAUAAUAUAAAUUUGUACUGAAUGAAU